UCCUACGGGAGGCAGCAGUGGGGAAUAUUGCACAAUGGGCGGAAGCCUGAUGCAGCAACGCCGCGUGCGGGAUGACGGCCUUCGGGUUGUAAACCGCUUUCGCCUGUGACGAAGCGUGAGUGACGGUAAUGGGUAAAGAAGCACCGGCCAACUACGUGCCAGCAGCCGCGGUGAUACGUAGGGUGCGAGCGUUGUCCGGAUUUAUUGGGCGUAAAAGGCUCGUAGGUGUUUGAUCGCGUCGGAAGUGUAAUCUUGGGGCUUAACCCUGAGCGUGCUUUCGAUACGGGUUGACUUGAGGAAGGUAGGGGAGAAUGGAAUUCCUGGUGGAGCGGUGGAAUGCGCAGAUAUCAGGAGGAACACCAGUNGCGAAGGCGGUUCUCUGGGCCUUUCCUGACGCUGAGGAGCGAAAGCGUGGGGAGCGAGCAGGCUUAGAUACCCUGGUAGUCCACGCUGUAAACGGUGGGUACUAGGUGUGGGGUCCAUUCCACGGGUUCCGCGCCGUA
rnacentral:rRNA from 1 species